CAGCAGGCGCGAAAACUUCACAAUGGGGGCAACCCCGAUGAGGGAAUUCCAAGUGCUAGCACUUUUUGUGUUAGCUGUUCUUUUGUCUAAAAAACAAGAGAAGUAAGGGCCGGGUAAGACGGGUGCCAGCCGCCGCGGUAAUACCCGCGGCCCGAGUGGUGGUCGAUAUUAUUGAGCCUAAAACGUUCGUAGCCGGUCUUGUAAAUCCUUGGGUAAAUCGGCCAGCUUAACUGUCCGAAGUCCGGGGAGACUGCAAGACUUGGGAUCGGGAGAGGUCAGAGGUACUUCUGGGGUAGGGGUAAAAUCCUGUAAUCCUAGAAGGACCACCGGUGGCGAAGGCGUCUGACUAGAACGAAUUCGACGGUGAGGAACGAAGCCCUGGGGCGCAAACGGGAUUAGAUACCCCGGUAGUCCAGGGUGUAAACGCUGCGGGCUUGGUGUUGGGGGUCCUUAGUGGGCGCCCAGUGCCGGAGAGAAGUUGUUAAGCCUGCUGCUUGGGGAGUACGUCCGCAAGGAUGAAACUUAAAGGAAUUGGCGGGGGAGCAC
rnacentral:rRNA from 1 species